rnacentral:rRNA from 1 species
AUUGAACGCUGGCGGCAGGCCUAACACAUGCAAGUCGAGCGGAGCGGCGGACGGGUGAGUAAUGCCUAGGAAUCUGCCUGGUCGUGGGGGAUAGCGUCCGGAACCGGGCGCUAAUACCGCAUACUAUCAGAUGAGCCCAGUUGGGAUUAGCUAGUAGGUGGGGUAAUGGCUCACCUAGACGACGAUCCCUAGCUGGUCUGAGAGGAUUACCAGCCACACUGGAACUGAGACACGGUCCAGACUCCUAAGGGAGGCAGCAGUGGGGAAUAUUGCACAAUGGGCGCAAGCCUGAUGCAGCCAUGCCGCGUGUAUGAAGAAGGCCUUCGGGUUGUAAAGCACUUUCAGCGGGGAGGCGUUACCCGCAGAAGAAGCACCGGCGAACUCCGUGCCAGCAGCCGCGGUAAUUC